GGCCGGAUAGCCAAGUGGUAAGGCGACGUUCUGCAAAAGCGUUAUACGAGGGUUCGAUUCCCUCUCCGGCCU
rnacentral:tRNA from 1 species